UGGAAAAAAAAAUCUCUGUUUGACACUCAUCUGCCUGCCCAGAAUCCUAGAUAGUACAGAUGAAAUAGUCUGUUAAACAAUAACUAAGCUGAAGUUAAUGAUUAUACAGCUUAUUUUAAAACAUCCAAUAGCUUCUAGGACUAUAACUGUAAUUUACAUGGAGCAGAAAGGAUAUCUGAUAAAUACUGGUGUGUAUGACCCCAGGCUAAACAGCCUGCGUGCAGAGAGUAGGGGGACCGGGAGGGUAUUUUGUCGGACAAAUAAGCAGUUUUGUGUAUCGCUUGCAACCCUAUCUGGAAGAACAUAAUGUAAGUCAAGGUGCACAGUGAGGCAUGCACGCACACACACUAACCAGAUAAUGACAAAUCAGUCAACAAAAUGUAUUCAUAAUAAUGGAAUUUGGAAUUAACAAAUGAAUGUCACAAUUGUUUUUGACAAUAAAAUGGGAAAUUUUUAUGAAACAUAAAAUAGUUAAUCACCUAGCAAUUCAAACAUUGGGUGUUUUUCAAUAUGUGUACUUGACAGUACUUGUGUAAUAGAAAAUAUAUAAUAACCGGUCUGAUAAUUCAAAUGGCCUGUCUGGGUUUACCUCUGAAACCCCAAAAGUGCAUGUGAGAGGUCAUAGAGGUGUUAAGCCGGUUAAAUAAAUUAUUCCUUGGUCCUCAAGGACAGUGGUGAUCCAUCUGCAUCAUUCAGAAGUACAAGCAUAAUCCUUUUUUCUAAAGGUACCUCUUAUCUUUCUAUGAUUUAAAAAUUCUAAAUUGAAAGUCAAUCAUAGGUGACAGAAUUGGUCUUUGAGGACAAAAACCAAUAUCAAGAUAGAUGCACUUCAAUCUAAAAACUGAUACAUGUCAGAUUUAAAGUCAAACUGAAACACAACCUUUCACUAAUAUUUUCUCUUCAAGUAACUGAAAAAGAUGCUCAAAAAGAAAAUUUGUGAAUACCUGUGGUGGCUGCAAUGAAAAUGUCACAGUCAGCUGCUAUGGUCACAGCUUUUUGCGGACAUUUUUGUUCUGGUAGUUUAACUUGGAUAAGACGGCACGUUCGUUUUACGGUGUAGAAAUUUCAGGAGGCAGAGAAGUUACUGUAGAUACUAAACCAAGGAAUGAGUCAGUGUAAGUCUCCGCUUACUGCUGAGAAGCUCAGUUCCACUUAGGACUAAUAGCCAUAAAGAGUGGUAUGCUGUACCUGUAAGAACAGAACACUUUCAAAAUGUAUCGCUGCGAGAGAACUGGAGAGCGGCUGUUUUGCGGCGGAGGAGGAAUGAAAGAGCGUGGGUGGGCGGUCAGCCUCCGCGACUGCUGAGAAUAAUGCUGUGCUAAGUGCAUAAUGGAACCAAAGCGUAUUUCUCAGCAAAAUAAACUGCAAGCACUCUGUCUGGCUCCUGGCUUAACCAAAUGUAGUUAACUCUUCUUAAAGAGUGGUGGGUCUCACGCCAGGGCGUAUGAAAGCCUGUUGCCUUGGGGGAAUCUGGUGGCCUGCCUCUGGUUUGCUCUGUGUCUAUACGCCCGCAGUCAAGUGACCGGUCAUCUCUACUUUGCCCUGGAAAUCGAGACCAGGCCCCCCAUGACCCUGCGCUGCAUGCGCAGUUAAAAAAGACCCAGUGUACUUUGCUGAUUUGGCCUCCAAUCUGUCAUAUUUGAAGCAUCACUUGUAAAGUCUAUAUUUAACUGACGUUUGGGAAAAUGGUAACAUAACAUCUCUUCCCUGUACUGACUCGAUUGAAACCUUACUGUCUACACAUUUCAGGGUCUCCUCUAUUUGUUUUUAUUACAUUUUCUUGUGAAAGAGUCCCAUUUGAUUUUCCGGUUUGCCGUCUACAGUAUAUUGUGCCGGCUUCAUUCCUGCUCAUUCUCUAUACCCCCGUUGUCAUGCCCCGCAUCCCUUCCCCCUCAUUCUCUCCCAGUUGCUUGUUUAAUUUUACCUCUCGUUACAGUCCUCGUGUGGAUCACUCCAGGUGCCUCUCAUCUGCUCCCUCGUCAGUGAUGUAUGAAGUCCCUCCCUGUCUCGAGCUCCCCAGUCCAGUCAUUGAUGUUUCUGCCAGCAUGCGCCCCCCCCAGUGUGCCCUGUGCCCGAUCCUCCCUACCCCGAUUUGGCCCCUCAUGGUCCUUUAAUAAAGCCCUUUUGGUU